AGCACCACAACGAGGUGGAGCCUGCGGUUUAAUCGGACUCAACGCCGGGAAACUCACCAGAUAAGACAGCUGAAUGAUAGUCGGGCUGAAGACUCUACUUGACUAGCUGAGAGGAGGUGCAUGGCCGUCGUCAGUUCGUACUGUGAAGCAUCCUGUUAAGUCAGGCAACGAGCGAGACCCACGCCAACAGUUGCCAGCUCGUCCUCCGGGAUGGUGGGGACACUGUUGGGACCGCCUCUGCUAAAGAGGAGGAAGGAAUGGGCAACGGUAGGUCAGCAUGCCCCGAAUUAUCUGGGCUACACGCGGGCUACAAUGGGUGGGACAAUGGGUAUCGACACCGAAAGGUGAAGGCAAUCUCCUAAACCCAUCCGUAGUUCGGAUUGUGGGCUGCAACUCGCCCACAUGAAGCUGGAAUCUGUAGUAAUCGUGUCUCAAAAUGGCACGGUGAAUAUGUCCCUGCUCCUU
rnacentral:rRNA from 1 species